UGGCUCAGAUUGAACGCUGGCGGCAGGCCUAACACAUGCAAGUCGAGCGGCAGCGGAAAGUAGCUUGCUACUUUGCCGGCGAGCGGCGGACGGGUGAGUAAUGUCUGGGAAACUGCCCGAUGGAGGGGGAUAACUACUGGAAACGGUGGCUAAUACCGCAUAACGUCUUCGGACCAAAGUGGGGGACCUUCGGGCCUCACACCAUCGGAUGUGCCCAGAUGGGAUUAGCUAGUAGGUGAGGUAACGGCUCACCUAGGCGACGAUCCCUAGCUGGUCUGAGAGGAUGACCAGCCACACUGGAACUGAGACACGGUCCAGACUCCUACGGGAGGCAGCAGUGGGGAAUAUUGCACAAUGGGCGCAAGCCUGAUGCAGCCAUGCCGCGUGUGUGAAGAAGGCCUUCGGGUUGUAAAGCACUUUCAGCGAGGAGGAAGGGUGGUGUGUUAAUAGCGCAUCACAUUGACGUUACUCGCAGAAGAAGCACCGGCUAAC
rnacentral:rRNA from 1 species